UACGGAGGGUGCAAGCGUUGUCCGGAAUCACUGGGUGUAAAGGGUGUGUAGGCGGGACUGUAAGUCAGAGGUGAAAGCCCACGGCCCAACCGUGGAAUGGCCUUUGAUACUGCAGUUCUUGAAUCCUGGAGAGGUCGUUGGAAUUCGUGGUGUAGCGGUGAAAUGCGUAGAUAUCACGAGGAACACCAGAGGCGUAGGCGAGCGACUGGACAGGUAUUGACGCUGAGGCACGAAAGCGUGGGGAGCGAACAGG
rnacentral:misc_RNA from 1 species